AAAAUGAGAAGGUGGAAGAGGGGCGGUAUCGGUGGGGGUGGGGACGAGGUAAUAAUAGGAUCCCCCGCCCCGAGAACGGGGUACAGAGGGAUGGGAACAGGAGGGCCUUUGACAAUUGGAGGUGGAGACUGGGCAAUGUCUGGGGAGGCAGGGCGAGGUUCAUUCACGGUAUUCUGGGCGCCAUCAUAGGGUGGUGGCCGG